rnacentral:snRNA from 1 species
AUACCUUGCAGGGGAAAUACCAUGGUUAUGAAAGUGGUUUUUCCAGGGUAAAGCUCAUCAAUUGCACUUUUGGUGUGCUGAUCCUUAUGAUUUCCCCAAAUGUGGGAAAUUUGUGUUAAUGGAGGAUUGCAUUUGUAAUUUCCCU